rnacentral:rRNA from 1 species
GACGAACGCUGGCGGCGUGCCUAAUACAUGCAAGUCGAGCGAGCUUGCCUAGAUGAAUUUGGUGCUUGCACCAGAUGAAACUAGAUACAAGCGAGCGGCGGACGGGUGAGUAACACGUGGGUAACCUGCCCAAGAGACUGGGAUAACACCUGGAAACAGAUGCUAAUACCGGAUAACAACACUAGACGCAUGUCUAGAGUUUAAAAGAUGGUUCUGCUAUCACUCUUGGAUGGACCUGCGGUGCAUUAGCUAGUUGGUAAGGCAACGGCUUACCAAGGCAAUGAUGCAUAGCCGAGUUGAGAGACUGAUCGGCCACAUUGGGACUGAGACACGGCCAAACUCCUACGGGAGGCAGCAGUAGGGAAUCUUCCACAAUGGACGCAAGUCUGAUGGAGCAACGCCGCGUGAGUGAAGAAGGGUUUCGGCUCGUAAAGCUCUGUUGGUAGUGAAGAAAGAUAGAGGUAGUAACUGGCCUUUAUUUGACGGUAAUUACUUAGAAAGUCACGGCUAACUACGUG